GGAGUUGACCAGACAGUCGCCGCUUCUUUGCCGUCCCUUUCGGGGGAGACAGAAGGAGGGGAGGAAAGUCCGGGCUCCAUAGGGCUGGGUGCCAGGUAACGCCUGGGAAGCGCGAGCUUACGACAAGUGCAACAGAGAGUAAACCGCCGAUGGCCCGCGCAAGUGGGAUCAGGUAAGGGUGAAAGGGUGCGGUACGAGCGCACCGCGCGGCUGGCAACAGGUCGUGGCAUGGUAAACUCCACCCGGAGCAAGGCCAAAUCGGGGGUC
rnacentral:RNase_P_RNA from 1 species